AUUGAACGCUGGCGGAAUGCUUUACACAUGCAAGUCGAACGGCAGCACGGACUUCGGUCUGGUGGCGAGUGGCGAACGGGUGAGUAAUAUAUCGGAACGUGCCCAGUCGUGGGGGAUAACGUAGUGAAAAUUACGCUAAUACCGCAUACGGUCUAUGGAUGAAAGCGGGGGAUCGCAAGACCUCGCGCGAUUGGAGCGGCCGAUAUCAGAUUAGGUAGUUGGUGAGGUAAAGGCUCACCAAGCCGACGAUCUGUAGCUGGCCUGAGAGGACGACCAGCCACACUGGAACUGAGACACGGUCCAGACUCCUACGGGAGGCAGCAGUGGGGAAUUUUGGACAAUGGACGCAAGUCUGAUCCAGCCAUUCCGCGUGCAGGACGAAGGCCUUCGGGUUGUAAACUGCUUUUGUACAGAACGAAAAGGUCUCUAUUAACACUAGGGGCUCAUGACGGUACUGUAAGAAUAAGCACCGGCUAACUACGUGCCAGCCGCCGCGGUAA
rnacentral:rRNA from 1 species